rnacentral:rRNA from 1 species
CAGCCGCCGCGGGAAUACGGAGGGGGCUAGCGUUGUUCGGAAUUACUGGGCGUAAAGCGCACGUAGGCGGCGAUUUAAGUCAGAGGUGAAAGCCCGGGGCUCAACCCCGGAACUGCCUUUGAAACUAGGUGACUAGAAUCUUGGAGAGGUCAGUGGAAUUCCGAGUGUAGAGGUGAAAUUCGUAGAUAUUGGAUGGAACACCGGUGGCGAAAGCGGCUCUCUGGCCCGGAUCUGACGCUGAGGCGCGAAAGCGUGGGGAGCAAACAGGAUUAGAUACCCGUGUAGUCCCUGUCUCUUAUAC